GGAACAUGUGUGUUUUUGAUAGUAACAACAACGGAGCUCUUUGGCAGAGAAGAAGAAGAAUAUCAGGCUGUGGAGGAAUCUCGUGAUCUCUUAAUGAAUCUCUUAAUUUAAAAGUGUCAGAGUUUGAUAUUUAGACCAGCAGCUGGUCGGGAUGCAUUUAUUCACGGUCGUCCUGAAAUACACAACAAACCUCAGCGUCAGAUCAGAGAACGCAAGCAGAGCGAGGUGAAAGUUGGCAGAAGGUCUGGAACAGAAUGACGUGUGUUUACUGGACGGAUCAGAGGUUUUUGUUUUCGGUCAACGGAUCAGAGCGAACACGAUGACGAGAGAGAGAAACACACACAAAGAGAGAAGAAGAGUUUGUAGUGAGUUCAGCUCAAACUGAAACCAUGGAGGACCUCUGGUGAGCACCACCCGACACGUGGCCCCGCGGCAACUUGAGACAAAUCAUUUCCAUGGCGAGGGCCAACUGAAAGGGUCGGUACGUCCUGCUCGGGGAAGGCUCGCCAAGAGGAUAGGUUUGGCGGGAAGUCUGUGUGUGCGUGCGCGUGAGAGAAAGAGAGAAAGCACAAAACAGAGGGUGUGUGUUUGUAUAGAUAAUAAAAAAGAAUCUGAUCUUUUGUGUGUGUGUGUGUGUGUGUGUGUGUGUGUGUGUGUGUGUGUGUGUGUGCAUAUAAUGUAAUCAGGGAAUGAUCUUGUCAUGAAGGAAAUCAGAAAGACUCUGUGUUCCUGUUUAAUAUAAUUCAAAGUUUCAAGGUCAAAGGUCGUGGAUUUAAUUAGAUUUAACUUUCUUGUAUUAAGCAGGCGAAGGAAGUUCUCACAUCCUUUACAGAUACCACAAUACAGAAGUAUGUUCAGCCAAAUAACCUUCAAGUAUCAAAAGUAAAAGCACUGCAGAGAGCUUCUCUUUGUGCACCUGCAACACGCUGCAGAUUGUUUUGUGUUAAUGAAUUAACUGCUUUGUAAAUG